UCUCGUUCCUCUCCCUGCAUCACCGUUCUCCGGUUCUUCGCCCCACAUCGACAAGAUGACGACACUAUCCUCCACUGGGUGGGGCUCGUUGACCUCUCCUUCUUCUCCUUCGCCCAACCGAGCCCCUCAACGACCAAAUUGAGCAAGCCUUGUCGACUUCGCCAUGGUCGCCUCUGGAGAUAUGCUCAUCGAUCCUCUCGUUCUCCCCUCGGUCAGGUGAUUUCUCAUCCAGCUUGUGUCACCUCGACUACCUCUUAGUGGUGUAAGUGGUGGCGACAUCAGCGAGAAAGGGGAGGAUCCUAGGGGCGACCGCUUCUCUAACCUUGCGUGGCUCCUCGCAACGGCGAUGACUCUCCCCGAGGUUGCCCUAGCCCUCUACAAGGUCGCGGUGAUCACAACGUUCAUAGUCCAAGUAGUGACACAUCACUCGAAGGAUGACAACAACGGAUCUACAUCGCCGAACGUGGACCUCACCUAGUUGGGGUGCCGUCACUCACCUUCCUCUUAGUGAUGCGAUGUGGAGGUGAGGGGCUCCGUGUUGGCGUGUUCACUGUCGAGUCCCUGCCAUCGAGCCUAUGGCAACGGUGGAUCUAGUGGCAGCGGCCAUCAAACUCGUGCUAGUGAUGGAUCUAACAACAUCGACUGUCAAGUGCUAUUGACAGUAGUAGAUAUUUUUUUUUAUUAUGACCGACUUCCACAAUAGCUACUACCGGGUAGCGGGAUAAUAUUUAUUGCUUAGUACCCUUUUUUUUCACAUUGUGGACACCCUAAGAUAUGAGGGUAUGCCUGCAAUUUGCAAAAUACAACUUCGACAAGGCUUCGCAAGCAAAAUAACUCAAUCUCUUCCCUUUCCGAAACACUCCCGGCUCGGUCCGCACCCCACUGCACACGUCACCCGAUGGAGGAGGUGCAGGCCACCGUGACGGCGCACCUGGACUAGGUGUCGGGCCUCGUGUAGGCACUCUCCUCUGAGCUCCGUCGCAGGAUGGGGCCUGCCGCUGACAUCCUACGCGCCUUCGUCUGCGACGUCGAUUGGACGGUACUCUUCCCCGAUCCUCUAAGAGGAGAUUGCAUCCCGAUCACCAAAACCUUGAACUUUGCCUUCUCUUCACUCUCCCUUCGAUCUAACAAUGGCAUGCUCUGUGUUUGUUUUGUACAUUUGUGACAGUUUCAGGAGGCUUCGCAGGCAAAAUAACUCAAUCUCUUCCCUUUCUGGAACACCCCCAGCUCGGUUUGCACCCUGUCGCACGCGUCACCCGAUGGAGGAGGUGCAGGCCACCAUGACGGCGCACCUGGACCAGGUGUUGGGCCUCGUGCAGGCACUCUCCUCUGAGCUCUGUCGUGGGAUGGGGCCCGCCGCUGACAACCUACACACCUUCGUCCGCGACGUCGAUUGGACGGUACUCUUCCUCGAUCCUCUAAGAGGAUUGCAUCCCGAUCACUAAAACCUUGGACCUUGCCUUCUCUUCACUCUCCCUUCGAACUAACAAUGGCAUGCUCUAUGUUUGUUUUGUACGUUUAUGACAGUUUCAGGAGGCUUCGCAGGCAAAAUAACUCAAUCUCUUCCCUUUCCAGAACACUCCCGGCUCGGUCUGCACCCCGCCGCGCGCGUCACCCAAUGGAGGAGAUGCAGGCCACCGUGACGGCGCACCUGGACCAGGUGCUGGGCCUCGUGCAGGCACUCUCCUCUGAGCUCCGUCACGGGAUGGGGCCCGCCGCUGACAACUUUUAGGAGCCAUGGCUGAUGUGCUUGAUGGCGUUGCAUGUGAUUAUGCUUUUCACCGCCAUCGGGUUCAGGAGGAGUGCCAACUCCCAGCUCAUCUUAUUGUUUCUUGCUUUCACUUUGCAAUUGGAUGGUUGCUAGUGUGUGCUCCUUGAUUGCACAUCAUUUUCUCGCUGCUUUCUAUAGAGCUUUGAGACUAUUGUGACAUAAAUUAUUUCUUGGAUUUGAAAGAAGAAAUGAAUGAUGGUAUAUACCACAUUAUCUUGCAACACUAGGUUACUGUAAGAUCUGUAAGAUUGGAAAUUUGGUAUCUGGCAUUUUGAUUUGCUUCCCUUCUAAUUAGGUUCAUGGUUUGCCUAUGCAUCUGGCUGAAAAGAUGAACAGAUACCUGGGAGAACACUGGAAUAGCUUUGCCAGUCAAAAUUACUUUCAUCUCCAUCAUCUGGUCUGGGUCCCUUGUUGUCAGCGCGGUUAGCAGUCUCAUUGCAUUAUGUUGAUUGAUGGUGAAAU